GGUGAGUAACACGUGAGCAACCUGCCCCUGACUCUGGGAUAACGACCGGAAACGGUCGCUAAUACCGGAUAUGAGACGUACAGGCAUCUGUUGCGUCUGGAAAGUUUUUCGGUCAGGGAUGGGCUCGCGGCCUAUCAGCUUGUUGGUGGGGUAACGGCCUACCAAGGCGACGACGGGUAGCCGGCCUGAGAGGGCGACCGGCCACACUGGGACUGAGACACGGCCCAGACUCCUACGGGAGGCAGCAGUGGGGAAUAUUGCACAAUGGGCGCAAGCCUGAUGCAGCGACGCCGCGUGAGGGAUGACGGCCUUCGGGUUGUAAACCUCUUUCAGCAGGGAAGAAGCGCAAGUGACGGUACCUGCAGAAGAAGCGCCGGCUAACUACGUGCCAGCAGCCGCGGUAAUACGUAGGGCGCAAGCGUUGUCCGGAAUUAUUGGGCGUAAAGAGCUCGUAGGCGGUUUGUCGCGUCUGCUGUGAAAACCUCAGGCUCAACCUGGGGCUUGCAGUGGGUACGGGCAGACUAGAGUGCGGUAGGGGUGACUGGAAUUCCUGGUGUAGCGGUGGAAUGCGCAGAUAUCAGGAGGAACACCGAUGGCGAAGGCAGGUCACUGGGCCGCAACUGACGCUGAGGAGCGAAAGCAUGGGGAGCGAACAGGAUUAGAUACCCUGGUAGUCCAUGCCGUAAACGUUGGGCACUAGGUGUGGGGCUCAUUCCACGAGCUCUGUGCCGCAGCAAACGCAUUAAGUGCCCCGCCUGGGGAGUACGGCCGCAAGGCUAAAACUCAAAGAAAUUGACGGGGGCCCGCACAGCGGCGGAGCAUGCGGAUUAAUUCGAUGCAACGCGAAGACCUU
rnacentral:rRNA from 1 species